rnacentral:tRNA from 1 species
GGUAUGGUAGCUCAGAACUUUUCUUCUUUUGCAUGUAGCCUUUCAAAGUGCCGUAAAAAGAAGAUACUUCGGUAGAGCGGUUUUCAUCAAAAACAGGCACAGGUUCAAGUCCUGUCCAUACCA